rnacentral:tRNA from 1 species
CAUUGAAGAAGACGAUGAGAAGCAGCUUUUGCUUUGCACACCCGAUUUUGGGUCUGUAGCUCAGUUGGUUAGAGCGCACCCCUGAUAAGGGUGAGGUCGGCAGUUCGAAUCUGCCCAGACCCACCAGUUACCUGGUGAAGUUGGUCAGAGCGCGUACGACACCCGGAUACGGGGCCAUAGCUCAGCUGGGAGAGCGCCUGCCUUGCACGCAGGAGGUCAGCGGUUCGAUCCCGCUUGGCUCCACCACUUACUGCUUCUGUUUGAAAGCUUAGAAAUGAGCAUUCCAUCCUGAUUGAAGGGUGCGUGAAUGUUGAUUUCUAGUCUUUGAUUAGAUCGUUCUUUAAAAAUUUGGGUAUGUGAUAGAAAGAAAUAUAGACCGGGCACCUCUUUCACUGGUGCGUGUCCGGGCUAAGGUAAAGUUUGUGAAAUGCAAACUUUCGGCGAA